GACGAACGCUGGCGGCGUGCCUAAUACAUGCAAGUAGGACGCAGUUGCGAACGGGUGAGUAACGCGUAGGUAACUACCUAUUAGAGGGGGAUAACUAUUGGAAACGAUAGCUAAUACCGCAUACUAGUAGAUGGACCUGCGUUGUAUUAGCUAGUAGGUAGGGUAAUGGCCUACCUAGGCAACGAUGCAUAGCCGACCUGGGAGGGGGAUCGGCCACAAUGGGAAUGAGACACGGCCCAAAAUCCUACGGGGAGCCGCAGUGGGGAAACUUCGGCAAAUGGGGGAACCCUGACCGGGCAACGCCGCGUGAGUGAAAAAGGUUUUCGGAUCGUAAAGCUCUGUUGUUAAGGAAGCGGUACUUAACCAGAAAGGGACGGCUAACUCCGUGCCAGCAGCCGCGGUAAUUC
rnacentral:rRNA from 1 species